GACAAACCCUACUAGCAAUGAGAAUGUAAAAGUGUGCGUCUUUCAGGCGAGGGGCAUGUAGAAGCAGGGGGAGACGGUUGGAAAUACGCGGAAUUACGCGGCGGCGAGAGCGUGUUUUGCUUUCUACACAGUUUUCGCACUCACACAAUCACACAUGUGUGAAUGUGUGCGUUCACUUUCAGCCAGCGCGCUCAGUUUGGUUUUCUCGCAGCGGCUUGCUGGUGUCGGUGUCUCGCUCGCACUAGUGCAGCGAGUGUUCCUCGUGCGUUCCCUUUCUUGCUACCACACAAAAUCGUCAGUACAGUUCAAGCCUUCGCAGUGUGAGGCCGCGCGCGUUUUAGCCUAAGUCCCGGGCGCUCGAUUAUUCAACAUACACAACAUACAGGCAGUAAGGCGGGUGCUUGAAGUGACGAUUUUUUUAAUUAUUUAUAAUAAAAAAUAUGUGUGGUUUUGUGACAAGAUUGUGGUUAGCGAUGUGUGGAACUGUGCCUUAAGUUUCAAUAAAGUGUUAAAAUAUCAAACGAG